UAUGAUGCAGUUUGCAGUUGUUUAAUGAUAUAAUCACCUCCACGAUGAGAUCUGUUGUGAGUAGCCAAUAUGUCGAAAGGGAGUUUCCUUGGCCUGCUUCCAAUAUAGGAGGAUUUUGUGAUAAAGCUCGCUGGCUUUUGCUUAUGCUGAAUCUUCUAGCUGGCUCCGAUUCAUCUGACCUCUGGGCUUUGGGAAUUGAGCUAGCAGUUUGUCUGCUGAUCUUUGGGUUUGUCAUCCUCUGCAGUCUGGAUCUUGGGUUUGCCAGCCCCUGCAGCUCCAUGAGUCAGAAGACGCCUCCAUACUGACCCACAUCACAGACUUGGAAGUUUCCAGCCUCUCUAACCAUAACUCAGCUGUCAUGCUGUGAGAAGCCCCAGCCCUAUGAAGAGUCCACAUGUAGACACUCCAUUCAGUUAUUCCAGCUGGACUCCCAGCUACCAACCUGUAUCAACCACCAGCCUUUUGAGGGAACCACAUUGGAUCUUCCAGCCCAUUUAUUCCAUCAGAUGACUCCAGCUGCAGCCAAAAUCUCACUACUACCACAUGGGAAGCGUCAGGAGAUUAAACAAGCAAGUGAUCAAGCAGAGAUGGGGGAAGAUAGAUGCCAUACCACAUGAAGAUCACUAAGGAACCAAGGAAUAGAACCUGAAGAGGUAAGAAUUUUCCCCCAGAGCUGACAAAUAGAGAGGGUCAUCCCCUAGAGCCAGUGCCCUGAAUUUGGACUUCUACCCUCCUAACUGUGAGAAAAUAAAUUUUCUGUUUGUUAAGGCCACUCACUUGCAGUAUUUAUGUGAUAGCAGCAGUAGAUAACUAAGACAGGGUCCUAAUGCUAUAUGAUUAAUGUCCUAUAAAAGACUGAAGACAGCCAUGUGACAUUGGAGGUGGAAUUGGAGUUAUUCAGUUGCAAGCCAAAGAAUGCCUGAGGCCACUUGAAGUUGGGAGACAUAAGACAGGGUCUUCCUCUACAGAUGUCAGAGGGUAUGGCCCUGCUGACACCCUGGGUUUAGACUCCUACCCUCCACACUAUGAAACAAUCAAUUUCCAUUCCUCUAAGUCAGCCACUUUGUGGUACUAGGAAACUCAUCAAGGAGAGAAAUAAACAUCACUCAAGAAGAGCUAAAGUCAUCAAUUGACUUAUCUCUUUAUUUGGGAAGAUGGUGAACAUGUUUAAGUUGUAUGUGGGAUAGUUUCAACAUGGUCGGUGGAAAUAAGUUUGCUAUUGCUUUUAUCUGGAAGAAAAAAAGGUUUAAAGAGACAUGUUUGGUUGUCAAGGAAUGGACUGUGGUAGUUUUGGAGUAUGUCAACUUAGCUAAGCUAUAACUACAUUUCUUAGAAUUUCCUUUUCUGAAUGUGUGCUAAGAUCAGGGUUGAUCACAAGAGAAACGUACUGAAGAUUCGGAAGACAAAGAUGAAGCUGCAGUCCUUAUGUUUGAGAGAAGGCAGGUAUAGAGUUCCAGGUAUUGCUCAUGUGUGCCGUUGCCGAUCAGCAGACUCAAGUCAUUGGCAUAGACUAGCUCUUCUUCAGCUUCCGCCAUGUCUCCUUCAACUCUUCUGUGUCCUAGGCCAGUGUACGUGUGUGGUGAAGGUCAUCAACUUCUUCUAGAGUUUUCCUUCAAGUACCUGGCUUGAUGACUUACAGAGACAUUUGGUCCACACCAGAUGCAGAAGCUAGAGCCGUCCAUGGACGUUGUCACCAGCUCCCUUUCAUGGUCCCUGCCUGGAAGCUCCACAGAAAGCUGUUCAGCAUCCUAGCAACAUUCAAGCCUCCACUAACAGAUGGUGCAUUGGUCAGGAAUUGAAUCCAGGUCUCCUGCAUGGAAGGUGAGAAUUCUACCACUGAACCACCAAUACCCUCCCUCCCCCUGGAAAAAAAAAUUAUGUUGAAGUCUUAACCCUGUACCCAUAAAUGUGACCCUGUUUGUCAUGUAAUGAGGUAUACUGAGUAGGGUGGGUCCUAAACCUAAUCAUUUCUGACUGAUGUCUUAUAAAAAGAGCAGGAUAGACACAGAGACACACACAGGGUGAAGACAAACACCAAGGAAUGCCAAGGAACUGCUGGGGCUAUGAACAAG